AACAAACGCUGGCGGCGUGCCUAAUACAUGCAAGUCGAACGGGGAAAGCUUUCGGGUGAGUACUAGUGGCGCACGGGUGAGGAACGCGUGGAUAAUCUGCCUUAGAGUGGGGGAUAACUAGUCGAAAGAUUAGCUAAUACCGCAUAAGACCACGAGAGCUGCGGCUUUUGAGGUCAAAGGUUUUUCGCUCUAAGAUGAGUCCGCGUAAGAUUAGCUUGUUGGUGAGGUAACGGCUCACCAAGGCGACGAUCUUUAACUGGUCUGAGAGGAUGAUCAGUCACACUGGAACUGAGACACGGUCCAGACUCCUACGGGAGGCAGCAGUAGGGAAUAUUGCACAAUGGAGGAAACUCUGAUGCAGCGACGCCGCGUGAGUGAUGAAGGCCUUCGGGUCGUAAAGCUCUGUCGCAGGGGAAUAACACAAUGAAGGUACCCUGUAAGAAAGGAUCGGCUAACUUCGUG
rnacentral:rRNA from 1 species